GCAACCGGCGGAGGCGCCGCAGGAGCGGCCCCAGGGAGAGCCUGCGGCCCUCGGCUGCUUCUCCCUCUUCCCCGCCGAGGGCGCAGGGCCGCGGUCCACGGCAGCAGGUGUCGCCUGGCCCAGCGGGUGCGAACAAGCCCACCCCUUUGCGCCUCUCCCGGCCGCGCCCUGGCACUUUCGACCUCAGCCUCCUCCCUCCAUCGCCAUCAGGCGCGGCCUAACCUGCGGAGAGGCCACGUCCCCCGGAGCCGGGGGCCCGGUGCUGGGAAAACAGCAUUAAGAUCACAGAUAAAAAUCCUUGUUCUUGGGAAGCUUACAUUUUAGUGGGUAGAAACUGAAAAGACGCAUUUAUUCAACUGCUUUUCUACUACUGAUGGAUUUUCACGUUGCUGUCAGCAUUUUGCUAUCAUAAGUGGUCCAAAGAUGAGGAGACCGAAGUGCAAGAGGUGAAGUAAAUGGCCCAAGUUUACACAGCAGCUGGGAAGGAGCCACUGAAGCAGACCUAAGGAAGAAGAGCUGUCCGGGCAGAAGAAUUCACAUGAAGCCUCAGGGGGACAGUAGCAGGCCGACCAAUGGCCCCAGACAUCGCCAGGUCCUAAUUCUGGAACCUGUGGAUGUUGCCCUGCAGGGCGAAGGGACUUUGCAGAUGGGGAAGUUCAUCCUGGCUCAUCCGGUGGGCCCAGUGUCAUCACGAGAGUGCUUAUACGUGGGGGGAAGAGGGAGAUCGGGCAUCACAUACGUGAUCCCUGUGGAAGCAGAGGUUGCUGUGAUGGGUGGAAGGGCAGGAACCAAGGAGUGCAGUCCCUGCCGACAGUUUAGACUUCGACCUUAGAAGCGUAAGACGAUAAACUUGUGUCGUUCAAAGCCACUAAGUUUGUAGUAAUUUGACGGCAGCGAUAGGAGCCACCCGUGCGUCUUUUCUCUGUGCUCUUUCUGGCCUCCAGUUCUUCCUGGCUCUUCUCUCUGCAGAGAACUCCCUCCCUUGGUCCCCUCUCUCCAGCUCGCCUCCUUCAAACUCUGCUAAGAUUCCCCGGAAUCCCCCAGGCUUGGUGUCCCCUUCCUCUGUACUCCUUGAACACUUCGCGUCAAUCUGGGUUCAAGCACUAAUACUAUACUGUACUAUACUGUACUAUAAUGUGCCCUUUCACUAGUCUGAUUCUUGCUUUUGAUUUGAUGUUGGAUUUCUUGAGAGUAGGGAUCCUAUAUUUUGCCUUUUUCUAUCCCCAGUAAUUGGCGCAGGGUCUGGUAAAACUGUAAGCAGUUCAUCCAAGUUUAUGGAAUAAAAAACAACAAUUAAACAGAAAACUGCAAUAGGGAAUCACACCAUACAAAGUCCCAUAAUAAAUGCGAUUCGCUCCACAGUCCUGGGAUUCUCCGGCCAGGGUCUAACAGGCACAAAAGAGUGGGACUGUGUCUUCCUGUCCCCACACCCUCACUCCCCCUGAGCCGUCCCCUUCCCUCCCCAGGCAGUCUGACCUUGACCUGUCUGAGGCAUCCUAAGUCCCACAGCUUCCCCAGUGCUGUGCACUCUGACCCCGGCCUAUACUGGUUGUUGAGGCUAAGAGCUCAGCCAAUGAUGAAUGAGGUGGAGAAGUGUUUAGGGCUUCUGAGGGCUGCCCCAGCUGUAACUUGAUACAUCUGUUGCGCUUUCUGUAGGAAAAGCAACAAUUUAGUCAAUGUUCUUUUAAAUCAUGCCCAUUUCUUCUAGACAUAAAGUAAGGUUCAAAUAAGAAAAAGAUUUAAAAAUCAUCUGUAAUCUCUCUACCCACAGUUAAUCAUUAAUAACAUUACUUAAAAAUAGUAUUAAUGUCAGAAUGAGUACAUUGCUAAUUAAUAUAUAGAAUGAAGAACAUAAAGUGAAACGUAAAAGAAUACCCAGUUCCACU